CAAAGCCACAGAGGAAAACUAGAGAAUUUCUCUCCAAUCAAGAUUUUUGGACUUCUCAAUUCUUUCAAAAUAAAUGGUGUCAGAGGAAGCCAAGUGAGGAAUUUUCACCACUAUUCAGCAAUAACAAGGUACCUAAAGAAGAACAAAAUGAACAUUUUAGACUAAUACAAAAACAAACACAAAAAUUCAACGAAUGGGCUUGACAACAGAAAGAAGACAAAAGAAAGAAUCCAUGAACCUGAAACUAGAACAGUAGAAAAUACCUCAUCUGAUUAAAAGAGAGAAAAUAAAUAGAAAAGAAGGAGGAGGAGGCAGAAAAGGAGAAGAAAGAGAAGAAGAAGACAACGAUGACGACGACAACAAAACAACAACAGCCACCAGAGAACUUGGAAACUAAAAGAUCUAACAAUCAUCUCAUCAGAAUUCCAGGAGAGGAAAAAAGGAUGAGGCUAAAAUGUACUUGAAAAAAUAGACUGAAAAUUUCCUAAAUUUGAUGAAAGACAAAAGCCUAUGUUAUCAAGAAGCUAUCAAACCCCAAUGGGACAAACCCAAAGAAAUCUAUGUCAAAGCACAUCAUAAUCAAGUGACGAAACUAACGACAAAACAAAUUUUGAAAGCAAUUUAAAUAUAUAUAUAUACUACCUUACCUAGAGGUGAAAAAAUGGAAUGAUGGAGGAUUUUUCAUCAGAAACCAUGGGGCCAGAAGAAAGUAGCACAACAUUUUUUAAGUCCUGAUAAAAAUAGAACUGUCACCUCUGAAUUUAUCCUUCAGGAGCGAAGGGAAAUAAAGACAUCCUAAUAAAGAAAGACUAAGACAAUCUAUCACCAGAAAACCUACACUAAAAGAAUGACAAAGGAAGUUCUUAAAACAGAAAGGAAAUGAUAAUUUAAAAAAAAGAAAUUUUUGAACUUCUAGAAAGAAAAAAAAAACGUAAAAAGAGGAAGUGUGGGAUACAAGAGGAUGUGUGGAAGACAGGAAACUCAACCACAUUCGGCUGGGCUUGUGGAGACCUAAAAAUCGUUCAAGACACUGUGGAGUUCUAGAGAUCUGGUCAGUUUGCAUCUUCAGGGACUGUACCUAUUGUUCUCUGUUCCAAGUGGUUGUUCUUUCUGUUUCUCUACUACUCCUGCUGCCACUGAGUCUUAGAGGAUUUGAGUAGCCAGGCUAACCACCAGGAAGUACUGCCUCUGGGAGACAGAAGAGUUCUACCAGCUUACUUAAUUGGUGACUUGCUAGCCUCUUCAGGGCUGACUCUUGAUCAGUUAUCUAUCUCUGAUCGGACAACCAGGUAGUGAAGUCACAUGGCUCUCUGAACAAGAUGAUUGAUGAUCAAGAAAUUCCUGUGGAUGACCCUUGGUUGCCCUGGACACUUCAAGAUUUCAGAGGCAUAAGAAAUAAAGCCAGCAGAAACAUUGCUGGGAAAAGAAAAAGAAUUAUUGGUAUAUGUGAUGACAUCAAUGAAUAGGAAGCACAUUUUACUAAGUGAGAGAAUCCAGAGUUGAAAGGCUCUAAUGGUAUCUGAUUUAAUUAAUGACAUUCCAAAAAGGAAAAACUAUGAGGUUGGAGAACUAAUCGGUGGUGGCCAGGGAUUGAGAGAAGUCGACUGCUUGUAAAGGGACAAGGUGAGGGAUUUUAAAGGGUGGUGAGAUUAUUUGGUAUCAUGAUUGUAGCGGGAGAUCUGUAACUCCAAGGAUUUUUACUGUAUGCAAAUUUAAGAACGAAAUAUCAUAAAAAUGCUUCUAAAAA